UCCUACGGGGGGCAGCAGUGGGGAAUAUUGCGCAAUGGGGGAAACCCUGACGCAGCAACGCCGCGUGAGUGAGGAAGUAUCUCGGUAUGUAAAGCUCUAUCAGCGGGGAAGAAGGAAGACGGUACCCGACUAAGAAGCCCCGGCUAACUACGUGCCAGCAGCCGCGGUAAUACGUAGGUGGCAAGCGUUAUCCGGAUUUAUUGGGUGUAAAGGGCGUGUAGGCGGGAAAGCAAGUCAGAUGUGAAAACUCAGGGCUCAACCCUGAGCCUGCAUUUGAAACUGUUUUUCUUGAGUGCUGGAGAGGC
rnacentral:rRNA from 1 species